rnacentral:rRNA from 1 species
ACCCGCUGAAUUUAAGCAUAUAAGUAAGUGGUGGAAAUUAAACCAAAUGGGAUUCUGUUAGUAAUUGCGAAUGAACAUAGACAUGCUUAGCUUGAUAAAUGGAGCCUCUGGCUUUGAAUUGUGUUUGUGAACAUGUAUUACCAACAGAGGUGUGGGUGUUAGCGUAUUGGAAGAAAGUGUCAAUGAAGGUGAGAGUCCUUGUUGUCAUGUGCAGCCCUCUGUGCACGGAGUAUGUUUGGUGAGUCACACUCCUUGGCAUUGGAAUGCAAAUUGGGUGGUAAGUUUCAUGCACAGGUAAAUACAUGAUUGAGACUGAUAGCGCACAAGUACCAUGAGGGAAAUAUGAAAAGGACUUUGAAAAGAGAGUUAAAUGAGUUUGCACUUGCUGAACAGAAAGUAAACAGAUUUGAUUAUACUGCGUGAGAUUGUGGUGUUUGCUUUGCAUGUCGAUGUGAAUUGCAAAUGCAAUGUUUGUUGCUGUGUGUGCUAGUUAUUUGUGCAUGUGCUGACCAUUGCACAUGAAUGGUAAUAUCUCUGCGGGGGGUGAUUGUAUGUGCAUGCAUGCAUGUGUGCUCAGGCAUGUGUUUGGUGAUGGUGUGUUGGUAUGUGUGUGUGUGUUCUGUGCUGGGUGUUGUUCGCUGUAUGGGCCCACAAGCUUUAACACUGACUUGCUGGUAAUAUGAUUCUGCUUGACCCGUCUUGAAACACGGACCAAGGAGUCUAACAGAUGUGCAAGCUGUAGGGUUUAAUUCCUGUGUGUGCAAUGAAAGCAUUGGCUGGGAUAUGUGCACCGGCAACCGACCAAGUAACAGACAGAGGUUUGAGUUUGAGCAUAUGUAUUAGGACCCGAAAGAUGGUGAACUAUGCUUGAACAGAAUGAAUUCAGAGGAAACUCUGAUGGAGGUUCGUAUCGAUACUGACGUGCAAAUCGUUCGUCAUAUUUGAGUAUAGGGGCGAAAGACUAAUCGAACCAUCUAGUAGCUGGUUCCCUCCGA